GAAAUGCAAGGACGCUCUUUUUAGAGGUCCGACCCAAUCAUUUUCCUUACACUGUGCACACUACUACUUUUUACACCAAUUUUUAACUCAUUAGUAUAAGAAUGUAACAAGUCUCUUAAUUGAGCAUAAACAAAACAAAACUUUCAGCAACGGAUCUCUUGGCUCC
rnacentral:misc_RNA from 1 species